ACGAACGCUGGCGGCGUGCUUAACACAUGCAAGUCGAACGGUAAGGCCCCUUCGGGGGUACACGAGUGGCGAACGGGUGAGUAACACGUGAGCAACCUGCCCUUGACUCUGGAAUAACAGUUGGAAACAGCUGCUAAUACUGGAUAUUCAUCGUCUCCUUCCUGGGGGGUGGUGGAAAGCUCCGGCGGUCAGGGAUGGGCUCGCGGCCUAUCAGCUUGUUGGUGAGGUAAUGGCUCACCAAGGCUUCGACGGGUAGCCGGCCUGAGAGGGCGACCGGCCACACUGGGACUGAGAUACGGCCCAGACUCCUACGGGAGGCAGCAGUGGGGAAUAUUGCACAAUGGGCGCAAGCCUGAUGCAGCAACGCCGCGUGCGGGAUGACGGCCUUCGGGUUGUAAACCGCUUUCAGUAGGGACGAAGGGUGACUGACGGUACCUACAGAAGAAGAACCGGCUAACUACGUG
rnacentral:rRNA from 1 species